GCCGGGGUAGCCUAGCCUGGUAGGGCGUCGGCCUGGAGAGCCGAUGGGCGCAAGCCCGCCUGGGUUCAAAUCCCAGCCCCGGCGCCA
rnacentral:tRNA from 2 species